rnacentral:misc_RNA from 1 species
GUUUGACUUUUGAAAGGGAAUCGAGAUUUUUUCAUUUUUUCCCUCCGCUUUUCCCCCCAGAUUCAACCCUUAUUUUCUAGUAUAUAAUAUCCUUUUAUUUACCGUCAAGGGGGUCCUUUUUAUGGUAUUCUGGAAAUUCUUAGAGCAAGAGUACAGAAAAAUAGAGAACAAUAUUUAUAUAUUCUUUAAGGAAUACAGUAAGGUUUUGAAGCGGAUGUGGGUUUUGGAGUUUAUUUCCAUAAGAUAUUAGAUUAAGGAGUCUUAUUUGUGAGUCGACACGAGUAUUUCCGGUA